UGGGGAAUUUUGGACAAUGGGCGAAAGCCUGAUCCAGCCAUGCCGCGUGCAGGAUGAAGGCCUUCGGGUUGUAAACUGCUUUUGUACGGAACGAAAAGGUCUGCCCUAAUACGGCGGGCUCAUGACGGUACCGUAAGAAUAAGCACCGGCUAACUACGUGCCAGCAGCCGCGGUAAUACGUAGGGUGCAAGCGUUAAUCGGAAUUACUGGGCGUAAAGCGUGCGCAGGCGGUUAUGUAAGACAGAUGUGAAAUCCCCGGGCUCAACCUGGGAACUGCAUUAGUGACUGCAUAGCUGGAGUACGGCAGAGGGGGAUGGAAUUCCGCGUGUAGCAGUGAAAUGCGUAGAUAUGCGGAGGAACACCGAUGGCGAAGGCAAUCCCCUGGGCCUGUACUGACGCUCAUGCACGAAAGCGUGGGGAGCAAACAGG
rnacentral:rRNA from 1 species